rnacentral:sRNA from 1 species
CUAAUGCUGCAUGAAAAUACUGUAUUUGCAUGAAUUUGGGGAUAAAUUAUAUUGUAAUAUAUAAUUUUUAAUUGACAAGAUUAAUUAAGGCUAACUUUAUGGUUAAACAUGACUUUCAGCAUGGAGGUUAGGCAACUAUAUACAUGAAAACUCCUAUCUUCCUGCCUAAAACUGUCAACAUAUUCUUUUGUUUAUAGAGAAUGUGGUCUUUUGCAAAAUGAAAAGGUAAGAGAACGAAGCUCAGUAACACAAACUCCAAUUCUGUUCCCUUGCACCCUUCCUAAUAAAUUUAUGGACAGUCUGGGUCAGGUUGUGGCUGGAUUUCUAUAUUGCUUGAAGACUUGGAAAAUUCUGUGUAUUAUUUCAUACAUGCUUCUGUAUCUUUUUUCAUUUCCCAAUGGGUUAUUAAUUUCACAUCAGAGAAAAGAGUCUAGUUGUGGGAUUUUUUUUCCCCUAAACCAGCAAUUUCUUUGAAUAAAAGUUGAAAUUUCCUUUUUCAAAGGUUUGUAUGUUUUCUUUUGUAUAUUAGAACUAUGACUGUGUUUAUUCUUACAAUAGUAGCAUCUGCAUAAAUCUAACUAUUGCACUUGCCCCAAAAAGCCUUAGAAAAGUCAGUUGCAGAGAUUUGUAAUGAAAUCUAAUAUUACUAGGUUUUAACGCUAUAAUAGCUUCAGUGUUAUAAUAGUCUUUUAUAUUUCCUUUGGGGGAAAAUGGAUUACUACUCUUUUUCAGAAGCCUGUUCCCAAGGUAAUCACUUUUUAAAGUUUUCUAUGUUUCUGUUUGUUCUGAAGAAGAUUUGUUUGUAUGAAUGUUAAAAGGACAUUUAAAUUAGUUUUCAAGGAUAUUCCUGCUGGAAUUAAAAUAACUCUAAGUGAUCUUUAUCACAGAUUUUUUUUUUCCUUUGAACGAGUAGGAAACAGCUAUUUAGCUGGUUCUAUUAUGUAGCAAUUUAAAACUAAUGCUGUAGGCCAUUUUGUGGUUGUUCCCUGUGGCAGAUACUUUUGUACCUUAAAAUUGUAUUUUGCUAUUUAAAUUUUUGUUUCACAGGGCUUUCUUCCUUAGAUAAUUUUGUGAUACAAUUGAGUAUACACAUACUUAAUUUAGAUAUGUUCCUGUAACUUAGUAUAUCAUAAUUUUUUUGUCUUAUAGUCUAGCUUCAAUUCAGUUGAAUAAUAAAUUUACUGUAUAAAAAUUAAACACCUAAAAAGAUUAUUAAACUUCUUCCAUGUAUAGCACAUUAGGCAAGCUAAUUGGAAAUUUGGAGGAAGUAAGCUAGAGAUUUUUCUAAAAUUUUACUAGUUUUCUCUGAAAGUUAAUAAUUUAAAUAUCAUUUAGCCAAAGUAUGUUACUACUAAAAGUGACUGUUCUAAGGCUGUUUGUAUGAAGUAUUAAAUAUAUGUUCUUUUCCUCAAGGCUUUAAUUAGUAUCUUUUGGCCUUUUUAUGCUUUUGUUAUUUGAUUAGCUUAAAUUUUUCUUUUCUGAGUGUUCAGUCAAGUUAUCUGUACUGACCAGAAGAGGAAUUUCAUCUUUUGCUUUCUAUUUAUUACUUGAACAUUACUUUAAAGUGACUUAUAAUUGGAGACUGACAAAUUUGUGUUUUCUUCAAACAGAUGAAAACUUUAUUCUCAAACAUGACAGAGCGUUCCUUUUGUCAAUGGCAAAUCGAGGGAAACAUACCAAUGGUUCCCAGUUUUUCAUUACCACAAAGCCUGCUCCGCACCUGGAUGGGGUGCAUGUUGUCUUUGGACUGGUUAUUUCUGGUUUUGAAGUAAUCGAACAAAUUGAAAAUCUGAAGACCGAUGCUGCAAGCAGACCAUAUGCAGAUGUGCGAGUUAUUGACUGUGGAGUACUUGCCACAAAAUCAAUAAAAGAUGUUUUUGAGAAAAAAAGGAAGAAACCAACUCAUUCAGAAGGCUCGGAUUCCUCUUCCAAUUCCUCUUCUUCAGAAUCAUCUUCAGAAAGUGAAAUUGAACAUGAGAGAAGCAGAAGGAGGAAACAUAAGAGGAGGCCAAAAGUUAAACGUUCUAAAAAGAGGCGAAAGGAAGCAAGCAGUUCAGAAGAGCCAAGGAAUAAACAUGUAAUGAACCCAAAAGGUCACUCUGAGAGGAGUGAUACCAAUGAAAAAAGGUCAGUUGAUUCCAGUGCUAAAAGGGAAAAACCUGUGGUCCGCCCAGAAGAGAUUCCUCCAGUGCCUGAGAACCGAUUUUUACUAAGAAGAGAUAUGCCUGUUGUUACUGCAGAACCUGAACCGAAGAUUCCUGAUGUUGCACCCAUUGUAAGUGAUCAGAAACCAUCUGUAUCAAAGUCUGGACGGAAGAUUAAAGGAAGGGGCACAAUUCGCUAUCACACACCUCCAAGAUCAAGAUCCUGUUCUGAGUCAGAUGAUGAUGACAGCAGUGAAACUCCUCCUCACUGGAAAGAGGAAAUGCAGAGAUUAAGAGCAUAUAGACCACCUAGUGGAGAAAAAUGGAGUAAAGGAGAUAAGUUAAGUGACCCCUGUUCAAGCCGAUGGGAUGAAAGAAGCUUGUCUCAGAGAUCCAGAUCAUGGUCCUAUAAUGGAUAUUAUUCAGACCUUAGUACAGCAAGACACUCUGAUGGCCACCAUAAAAAACGCAGAAAAGAAAAAAAGGUUAAGCAUAAAAAGAAAGGGAAAAAGCAGAAACACUGCAGAAGACACAAACAAACAAAGAAGAGAAGGAUUCUUAUACCGUCUGACAUAGAAUCCUCAAAAUCUUCCACUCGAAGAGUGAAAUCCUCUUGUGAUAGAGAAGGGAGUUCUCGUUCUUUCUCAUUAUCGUCUCAUCACUCAUCAAAGAGAGACUGGUCUAAAUCUGAUAAGGAUGUCCAGAGCUCUUUAACCCAUUCCAGCAGAGACUCAUACAGAUCAAAAUCUCACUCACGGUCUUAUUCUAGAGGAAGCUCAAGAUCAAGGACUGCGUCAAAGUCCUCAUCACAUUCUCGAAGUAGAUCAAAGUCCAGAUCUAGUUCCAAGUCUGGUCACCGAAAGAGAGCAUCAAAAUCACCAAGAAAAACAGCUUCUCAGUUAAGUGAAAAUAAACCAGUUAAAACAGAACCUUUAAGAGCAACCAUGGCACAAAAUGAAAAUGUAGUAGUACAACCAGUUGUAGCAGAAAAUAUUCCUGUAAUACCACUGAGUGACAGUCCCCCCCCUUCAAGAUGGAAGCCUGGACAGAAACCUUGGAAACCGUCUUAUGAGCGAAUUCAGGAAAUGAAAGCUAAAACAACCCAUUUGCUACCCAUCCAAAGCACUUACAGUUUAGCAAAUAUUAAAGAGACUGGUAGCUCAUCAUCCUACCAUAAAAGAGAAAAAAAUUCAGAAAGUGAUCAGAGCACUUACUCAAAAUACAGUGAUAGAAGUUCAGAAAGCUCACCAAGGUCAAGGAGCAGAUCUUCUAGGAGUAGAUCUUAUUCCAGAUCAUAUACAAGAUCACGUAGUCUAGCUAGUUCACAUUCAAGGUCUAGGUCUCCAUCAUCUAGAUCUCAUUCACGAAAUAAAUACAGUGAUCAUUCACAGUGUAGUAGAUCAUCUUCAUAUACUUCUAUUAGCAGUGAUGAUGGAAGGCAAGCUAAGAGGAGACUUAGAUCCAGUGGGAAAAAAAAUAGUGUUUCACAUAAAAAGCAUAGCAGCAGCUCUGAAAAGACACUUCACAGUAAAUAUGUCAAAGGUAGAGAUAGGUCUUCGUGUGUGAGAAAGUAUAGCGAGAGCAGAUCGUCUUUAGAUUAUUCUUCAGACAGUGAGCAGUCAAGUGUUCAGGCCACACAGUCAGCCCAGGAAAAAGAGAAGCAGGGCCAAAUGGAAAGAACACAUAGUAAACAAG